rnacentral:rRNA from 1 species
GACGAACGCUGGCGGCGUGGAUUAGGCAUGCAAGUCGAACGGUAUCAUCCUUUCGGGGGUGAGAGAGUGGCGAACUGGUGAGUAACACGUAGGUUAUCUACCCUCAAGACGGGGACAACCCAGGGAAACUUGGGCUAAUACCGGAUGUGAGCAACUUUUAGUUGUUUGAAAGGUGGCGUAAGCUGUCGCUUGGGGAUGAGCCUGCGUCCUAUUAGUUAGUUGGUGAGGUAACGGCUCACCUAGGCAAUGAUAGGUAGGCGGCCUUAACGGGUGGUCGCCCACACUGGGAUUGAGAUACGGCCCAGACUCCUACGGGAGGCAGCAGUCGAGAAUAGUCUACAAUGGUCGGAAGACUGAUAGUGCGACGCCGCGUGAACGAUGAAUCCCUUCGGGGUGUAAAGUUCUUUUAUAUGUGAGCAGUGCUUCUUAUAUUAACAGUAUGGGGAGAGAGAUAUUAGCAUAUGAAUAAGCAACGGCUAACUCCGUGCCAGCAGCCCGACGGUAAAC